rnacentral:rRNA from 1 species
CUACGGGGGGCACCAGUGAGGAAUUUUGCGCAAUGGGGGAAACCCUGACGCAGCAACGCCGCGUGAGUGAUGAAGGCCUUCGGGUCGUAAAGCUCUGUCAAGUGGGAAGAACCUAUCGAUAUUGAAUAUAUAUUGAUACUGACGGUACCACAAGAGGAAGCACCGGCUAACUCCGUGCCAGCAGCCGCGGUAAUACGGGGGGUGCAAGCGUUAUUCGGAAUCAUUGGGCGUAAAGGGCGCGCAGGCGGCCUUGUAAGUCAGAUGUGAAAGCCCGGGGCUCAACCCCGGAAGCGCAUUUGAAACUAUGAGGCUUGAGUAUGGGAGAGGGAAGUGGAAUUCCUGGUGUAGCGGUGAAAUGCGUAGAUAUCAGGAGGAACACCGGUGGCGAAGGCGACUUCCUGGACCAAUACUGACGCUGAGGCGCGAAGGCGUGGGGAGCAAACAGGAUUAGAUACCCUGGUAGUC